rnacentral:rRNA from 1 species
CUACGGGACGCUGCAGUGAGGAAUUUUGCGCAAUGGGGGAAACCCUGACGCAGCAACGCCGCGUGAGUGAAGAAGGCCUUUGGGUCGUAAAGCUCUGUCAACUGGGAAGAAGUUAACCAUAAUUAAUAGCUGUGGUUAUUGACGGUACCAGUGGAGGAAGCGCCGGCUAACUCCGUGCCAGCAGCCGCGGUAACACGGGGGGCGCAAGCGUUAUUCGGAAUUAUUGGGCGUAAAGGGCGCGCAGGCGGUCUUGUCAGUCAGGUGUGAAAGCCCGGGGCUCAACCCUGGAAGUGCACUUGGAACAGCAAGACUUGAGUACGGGAGAGGAGAGAGGAAUUCCUGGUGUAGAGGUGAAAUUCGUAGAUAUCAGGAGGAACACCGAUGGCGAAGGCAUCUCUCUGGACCGAUACUGACGCUGAGGCGCGAAGGCGUGGGUAGCGAACGGGAUUAGAUACCCCUGUAGUC